UACGAAGGGGGCUAGCGUUGUUCGGAAUUACUGGGCGUAAAGCGCGCGCAGGCGGUCUUCCAAGUCAGUGGUGAAAGCCCGGAGCUCAACUCCGGAACUGCCAUUGAAACUGUAAGACUUGAGGAUGAGAGAGGUGAGUGGAAUUCCCAGUGUAGAGGUGAAAUUCGUAGAUAUUGGGAAGAACACCCGUGGCGAAGGCGGCUCUCUGGAACGCAACUGACGCUGAGACGCGAAAGCGUGGGGAGCAAACAGG
rnacentral:rRNA from 1 species